GACGAACGCUGGCGGCGUGCCUAACACAUGCAAGUCAACUUGACUGAAGGAGCAAUCUGACAGUAGAGUGGCGCAAGGGUGCGUAACGCGUAAGUAACUUGCCCAAGGUAAGGAAUAACGUCGAGAAAUCGGCGCUAAUACCUCAUAAUGCAGCGGAUCCGCAUGGAUAUGUUGUUAAAGGUUUACCGCCUUGGGAUAGGCUUGCGUCUGAUUAGUUAGUUGGUGUGGUAACGGCACACCAAGGCUACGAUCAGUAACUGGUCUGAGAGGAUGAUCAGUCACACUGGAACUGAGACACGGUCCAGACUCCUACGGGAGGCAGCAGUGAGGAAUAUUGGGCAAUGCUCGAAAGAGUGACCCAAGCAAACGCCGCGUGGAGGAUGAAGGUAUUCUAUAUCGUAAACUCCUGUGAGAGCAGACGAAAGACAGAUUAUUAAUCUGGAUGACUGUAUGCUCAGA
rnacentral:rRNA from 1 species